GCAGUCGCCGCGGGAAUACGUAGGUGGCAAGCGUUGUCCGGAUUUAUUGGGCGUAAAGCGAGCGCAGGCGGUCAAUUAAGUCUGAUGUGAAAGCCCCCGGCUCAACCGGGGAGGGUCAUUGGAAACUGGUUGACUUGAGUGCAGAAGAGGAGAGUGGAAUUCCAUGUGUAGCGGUGAAAUGCGUAGAUAUAUGGAGGAACACCAGUGGCGAAGGCGACUCUCUGGUCUGUAACUGACGCUGAGGCUCGAAAGCGUGGGUAGCAAACAGGAUUAGAUACCCCCGUAGUCCCUGUCUCUUAUAC
rnacentral:rRNA from 1 species